GAUGAACGCUGGCGGCGUGCCUAACACAUGCAAGUCGAACGGAGUUUAUGUAGGAAGUUUUCGGAUGGAAUGUAUAAACUUAGUGGCGGACGGGUGAGUAACGCGUAAGUAAUCAACCUAAAACACACGGAUAACUAAGAGAAAUUUUAGCUAAUACGAGAUGAACUUUGAUAGUAGGGAUAUUAUCAAAGCAAAGCUGAGGCGGUUUUAGACGAGCUUGCGUCUGAUUAGCUAGUUGGUAAGGUAAGAGCUUACCAAGGCGACGAUCAGUAGCCGGCCUGAGAGGGUGAACGGCCACAUUGGGACUGAGACACGGCCCAAACUCCUACGGGAGGCAGCAGUGGGGGAUAUUGCACAAUGGGGGGAACCCUGAUGCAGCAACGCCGCGUGAGUGAAGAAGGCUUUCGAGUCGUAAAGCUCUGUCGUAUGAGAAGAAUAAAUGACUGUAUCAUACAAGAAAGCCCCGGCUAACUACGUGCCAGCAGCCGCGGUAAUACGUAGGGGGCAAGCGUUAUCCGGAAUUACUGGGCGUAAAGGGUGCGUAGGCGGCUUAGUAAGUCAAGAUUUAAAGGCAGCAGCUCAACUGCUGUUCGGUCUUGAAACUAUUGAGCUUGAGUAUAGGAGAGGAAAGUGGAAUUCCCAGUGUAGCGGUGAAAUGCGCAGAUAUUGGGAGGAAUACCGGUGGCGAAGGCGACUUUCUGGACUAUAACUGACGCUGAGGCACGAAAGCGUGGGUAGCAAACAGG
rnacentral:rRNA from 1 species